UUUUACUGGGCAUCUGGAUCGAC
rnacentral:piRNA from 1 species